rnacentral:rRNA from 1 species
GACGAACGCUGGCGGCGUGCUUAACACAUGCAAGUCGAACGGAAAGGCCCUGCUUUUGUGGGGUGCUCGAGUGGCGAACAGGUGAGUAAUACGUGAGUAACCUGCCCUUGACUUUGGGAUAACUUCAGGAAACUGGGGCUAAUACCGGAUAGGAGCUCCUGCUGCAUGGUGGGGGUUGGAAAGUUUCGGCGGUUGGGGAUGGACUCGCGGCUUAUCAGCUUGUUGGUGGGGUAGUGGCUUACCAAGGCUUUGACGGGUAGCCGGCCUGAGAGGGUGACCGGCCACAUUGGGACUGAGAUACGGCCCAGACUCCUACGGGAGGCAGCAGUGGGGAAUAUUGCACAAUGGGCGGAAGCCUGAUGCAGCAACGCCGCGUGCGGGAUGACGGCCUUCGGGUUGUAAACCGCUUUCGCCUGUGACGAAGCGUGAGUGACGGUAAUGGGUAAAGAAGCACCGGCUAACUGCGU